CACGUAGGGGGCAAGCGUUGUCCGGAUUUAUUGGGCGUAAAGAGCUCGUAGGCGGUUCGGUAAGUCGGGUGUGAAACCUCCAGGCUCAACCUGGAGAUGCCACCUGAUACUGCUGUGACUCGAGUCCGGUAGGGGAGCGUGGAAUUCCUGGUGUAGCGGUGAAAUGCGCAGAUAUCAGGAAGAACACCCGUGGCUAAGGCGGCUCUCUAGUACGGUACUGACGCUGAGACGCGAAAGCGUGGGGAGCGAACAGG
rnacentral:rRNA from 1 species